GACGAACGCUGGCGGCGUGCUUAACACAUGCAAGUCGAACGAAGUGGCGAACGGGUGAGUAACGCGUAAUCAACCUGCCCUUCAGAGGGGGACAACAGUUGGAAACGACUGCUAAUCCCGCAUACUGAAGGAGGGGAUUGCGUCUGAUUAGCUAGUUGGCGGGGUAACGGCCCACCAAUGCGAUGGUCCGUAGCCGGUCUUGGUGGAGGGACGGCCACAUUGGGACGUGAACACGGCCCUGACUCCUACGGGAGGCAACAGUGGGGAAUCUUCCGCGAUGGACGGAAGUCUGACGGAGCAACGCCGCGGGAGUGAUGACGGCCUUCGGGUUGUAAAGCUCUGUUAAUCGGGGCGCGGUACCGGAAUAGAAAGCCACGGCUAACUACGUGCCAGCCGCCGCGGUAAUUC
rnacentral:rRNA from 1 species